GGGAGGUAGUGACAAUAAAUAACAAUACCGGGCUCAAUGAGUCUGGUAAUUGGAAUGAGUACAAUCUAAAUCCCUUAACGAGAUCCAUUGGAGGGCAAGUCAGGUGCCAGCAGCCGCGGUAAUUCCAGCUCCAAUAGCGUAUAUUAAAGUUGUUGCAGUUAAAAAGCUCGUAGUUGAAUUUCGGGAUCAAGGGAUUGGUCAUGCCUCGGUAUGCACUGGUCUUAUUGGUUCUCACCUUCUAAAGAACCAUGAUGUCAUUCAUUAGAUGUUAUGGGGAAUUAGGACUGUUACCUUGAAAAAUUAGAGUGUUUAAAGCAAGCUUACGCUUGAAUACAUUAGCAUGGAAUAAUGAAAUAGGACAUCAGAUUCUAUUUUGUUGGUUUCUAGGAUCGAUGUAAUGAUUAAUAGGGAUAGUUGGG
rnacentral:rRNA from 1 species